rnacentral:rRNA from 1 species
AAAACUCAAAGGAAUUGACGGGGGCCCGCACAAGCAGCGGAGCGUGUGGUUUAAUUCGAUGCAACGCGAAGAACCUUACCAAGGCUUGACAUGUCGGAAGUAGUGACCCGAAAGGGGAACCACCUGUUAAGUCAGGAGCCGUCACAGGUGCUGCAUGGCUGUCGUCAGCUCGUGCCGUGGGGUGUUCGGUUAAGUCCAGCAACGAGCGCAACCCCUGUUGUCAGUUGUUUUCUCUGGCGAGACUGUCCUGCAAAACGGGAAGGAAGGUGGGGAUGACGUCAAGUCAGCAUGGCCCUUAUGCCUUGGGCUACACACACGCUACAAUGGGUGGUACAACGGGUAGCAAUAGAGCGAUCUGGAGCUAAUCCCCAAAGCCAUCCUCAGUUCGGAUUGUAGGCUGAAAUUCGCCUGCAUGAAGUCGGAGUUGCUAGUAACCGCAGGUCAGCAUACUGCGGUGAAUACGUUCUCGGGCCUUGUACACACCGCCCGUCACGUCAUGAAAGUCGGCAAUACCUGAAGUCGAUGGGCUAACCCCGACUUGUCGGGGGGGCAGUCGCCGAGGGUGGGGCCGGUAAUUGGGACGAAGUCGUAACAAGGUAGCCGUAGCGGAAGCUGCGGCUGGAUCACCUCCUUUCUAG